CGUAACAAGGUCUCCGUUGGUGAACCAGCGGAGGGAUCAUUACCGAGUUUACAACUCCCAAACCCCUGUGAACAUACCACUUGUUGCCUCGGCGGAUCAGCCCGCUCCCGGUAAAACGGGACGGCCCGCCAGAGGACCCCUAAACUCUGUUUCUAUAUGUAACUUCUGAGUAAAACCAUAAAUAAAUCAAAACUUUCAACAACGGAUCUCUUGGUUCUGGCAUCGAUGAAGAACGCAGCAAAAUGCGAUAAGUAAUGUGAAUUGCAGAAUUCAGUGAAUCAUCGAAUCUUUGAACGCACAUUGCGCCCGCCAGUAUUCUGGCGGGCAUGCCUGUUCGAGCGUCAUUUCAACCCUCAAGCCCUCGGGUUUGGUGUUGGGGAUCGGCGAGCCCUUGCGGCAAGCCGGCCCCGAAAUCUAGUGGCGGUCUCGCUGCAGCCUCCAUUGCGUAGUAGUAAAACCCUCGCAACUGGAACGCGGCGCGGCCAAGCCGUUAAACCCCCAACUUCUGAAUGUGACCUCGGAUCAGG
rnacentral:rRNA from 1 species